CAGCACCCAUUUGGGCAUUUCUCCACAGGGAGAACCUCUCCACGGACGCUGACGGUGCUUCCGACACCUGACGCCGCUGUACUUGGAUCCCUUGUGCCACCGCCGGCCACUGCUGCAAUGCAGCCCAGCAUCGGCACAGCAGUGCAGGUGUCACCGCAACCCCUCCACGUCCCCACUGUCACCAACACGGUGCCUCAGGCCUCUGUCUGGCCUGGGGUGCCAGGUGUCCGGGGACAGGGAGCGCAGCUCCCACCUGGGGGGCCGCCUCCAUCAGUGGGUCAGCUCCCAGCUUGGGGGCUGCACCCUGGUACGGCUCCCCCCACAGCCCCUGCCCACGGCUGCAUCCAUCACCUGCAGGCAGGGACGCUGCAGUCCCAGCAGCCGACGGGGCUGUGGCCUGGGGCUGUGUUCCAUGGGGAGCCCACACAGCCCGCAGGCAGCUGCCCGCUGCAGGACCCCCAUCACCACGUCCUUCUGCCAGCACCUCCAGUGCAGCAGCAGGUGCUCCCCGCGCCCUGCACCCUGCCCGCCAGCUGGGAGCAGACGGUGGGGCCCUUUGGAGACGCCACGGAGGCCCAGGGGCACCCGGCACCCAGCAGCGUGUGCCCCCAUCCCACCAUGGCUCUGCUCGGCUGCAGCAGCACAGCGCUGGAAUCAGGUGCUGAGACAAUGAGCGCAGACAUCACAGAGGACAUUGAUGAUCUGCUCACGUGGAUCAGUGAAGUGAUGUCCAACGCAGACAUCCCGGUCGACACCACGGAGGUCGAUGACAUCCUGACGUGGAUCAGCAACGAAGGGACACCCAGCUCGGCCAUUCCAGAUGACAAGAUGGAAAUCAACAGCUUGCUCACCUGGAUCGCUGAAGCGUUGAGUUGUCCGGAGGUCCCCCGGCAGCCACUGCCAGAUGUCCCCAGCAGCCUCGGCACCUCUCCUUUCUCCAGAGGAGCCCCUGACUUUCCCACAGGCAGCAGGGAGCUCAGCAGAGAGGUGCAGGCUGACGCCGGGCCCCUCAGUGAGCCGUUCUCAGCGCAGCCGGUAUCCUCUGGGCAGCUCUCUGAGCCGCUGCUGCGCAGGCAUCUGAUGGAAGAGGCGCGGCAGAGGCAGCCCCGGGUGGUUCUCCCCCGCCUGGCACUGCCGACCCGCAUGGAUGCUCGCGUGCCUCCUUCAGCCCACAGCGCACGGCUGAUAGAAGAGGCGAAGCAGAGGCAGCCCCGGGUGGUUCUCACCCGCCUGGCGCUGCCAUCCGGCUGCAUCUCCUGCCACAUGCCAGGCAACCACCACGAGGAUGGCACCGAGCCGGCCGAGUGCCCGGCGCCUGCCUGCACCACCAGGAAAGGCAGGAACAGAGGGCACGAGCAGCGCGCUGGCAGCGUCCCAGCCAGGAAGAGGAAGCUGCUCCUGGGCCAGGACGCUCCAGGACAGAAACGCCGGCGCUAGGCGAAGCUGGGUGGGCUCAGCCUGAGCGGGAGCCUCCGCAGAAACCGGCCCACGUGGUGCAGCAGGAGGCACGGCCAUAGCCAACAAACAAGGCUACCUGUAGCCCUGGGCUCCUCGCUGGCCCCUGCGGCACACAGAGAGCAGCGGCAGUGCUCCAGGGACACCAGCACCGGCCCCAGCCCUACCCCUCCAAACCUGGGCUUCCACCGAUGUCAUCUUGGGCUGUUACAUUAUGUUACAUUAUACUACAUUAUGUUAAAUUAUGUUACAUUACAUUAAAUUAAUAAAUGUUUUAUAUUCACUUUCCUAUGCCUCCA
rnacentral:lncRNA from 1 species